ensembl:lincRNA
CUUAACUAAAGGUAACAGUGAUGUGGUACAUUCCUGUGUAUAAUUAAUUCAUAGUUUUUGUUAAUUUUGCAGAUCAUAAAGACUAUGACCCCGAAACUCUCAGACUUGGGAGUAGAUUUAGUCAUAUUCAAGAAGUCCAAGAACGACUUAACUUCCUUAGAUUUUUAUUGGAGGAUGGUCAAUUGUGGCUCCGUGCUUCCCAGGCAAAACAAAUAUGGAAGUGUUUAGCAGAGAAUGCACUUUAUCUUAGUGAUCGUGAAGCCUGUUUUAAGUGGUACUUCAGGAUAAUGGGGGAUGAACCAGACUUAGAUCCUGAUAUUAUUAAGGAUUUUUUUGAAAGUAAUGUCCUACAGCUUGAUCCUACCCUGUUGACUGAAAAUGGAAUAAAGUGUUUUGAAAGAUUCUUCAAAGCUGUUAAUUGUAAAGAAGGGAAGCUAGUAGCAAAAAGAAGAGGCUAUAUGAUGGAUGACUUGGAAUUGAUAGGAUUAGACUACCUUUGGAGGGUUGUUAUUCAGAGUAAUGACGACAUUGCCUGCAGAGCUAUAGAUCUUCUUAAAGAAAUAUGCACAAAUCUUGGCCCCAGAUUGCAGAGCAAUCAGGUGAUAAUUCAUGAAAACUUCAUUCAGUCUUGCUUUGAUCGUUUGAAAGCUUCAUAUAAUACCCUGUGUGUUUUGGAUGGGGACAAAGACAGUAAUAGCUGUACAAGACAAGAAACUAUACACAUGGUUCGAGUAUUAACUGUUUUACGAGAAUACAUAAAUGAAUGUGACAGUGAUUAUCAGAAGGAAAGAAUGAUUCUACCUAUGUCAAGAGCAUUUCGUGGCAAACAUCUAUCUUUUAUAGUUCGAUUUCCCAACCAGCGCAGACAUGACUUGGACAUCCCGUCUCACACAAAUGAUACAGUUGGUUCAAUACGACGAUGUAUUCUCAAUCAAAUUAAAGCCAAUGUAGCCCGUACAAAAGUUGAACUGUUUGUGGAUGGUGAGCUGUUAGAUUCUCUAGAUGACAGAAAGCUAAUUGGACAAUUAAAUUUAAAGGAUAAAUCAUUAAUUACAGCUAAGCUUACACAAAUCAAUUCCAACGUGUCUUCACGUCCUGAUAGCCCUUCAGCUGGACCCCCUAGAAACCACCAAAAUCUCUAUAGUGAUGAUCCUAAUCCUGAAGUAGAAAGUUGUUUGCCUGGGGUGAUAAUGUCACUGCAUUCCAAAUAUAUCUCUUUCCUUUGGGAAGUUGCCGACUUAGGUAGUAGCCUGAAUAUGCCAUCUCUUAGAGAUGCAGCAAGAGUACUUAUGAAACUUAUGCCACCAGGUAAGGAAAUAAUAGUCCAUCCAUUCAUAGCCCUCCUGCAGGGUAAUAAUGCUGACAUUUACAUAAUGGACAAAACAGGAGCAUUUUUAAAAAUCUGUUUCCAAAUCAGAUAUACUUUGUGAGAUAGACCUCAGUAUUGAUAAUGUAUCUCCUGCACCAUGACUGCUAAAACAUCUUGCCAUAUGUAAGAAAAAAUAUUUAGGUGCUUGUAGCUUUAUAAAAUACUUUUAGCAACCUAAUAUAUGAUUUAGACAAUGUCUUUCUUUAAUCAUCUUCGUCGUUACUGGUUCAAAUAAAAGCCACUCUUGAACUUUAAUUUUACUCUUAUUUUAUCUCCAAGCAGUGUAUUAUUUUUGUGCUAAGCUUAAAUAUUACUUAUUUAAGUUUCUUUGCUUUGGGGGGUUUUGUUUGUUUGGUUGGUUGGUUGGUCGGUUUUUUGAGACAGGGUCUCACUAUGUAGUUGAGACUGCCCUGGAACUCACUAUGUAGCCCAGAUUGGUCUCGAACACAGCAAUCCUCCUGCCUCAGCCUCCUGAGUACUGGGAUUACAGGCAUGCGCCACCAUGCCCGGCU